CCCCGCGGCGCGAGCCGACGCCGGCGCCCAAUCCGCUCCGCCCGGAGUGCGCUCCCCGCGUGCUAUUGGCCCUCCCUUUUCCGGGGGCGGGGCUAGGAGAAGGGCGUCGGGCUCGCGUCUGGCCAAUCGGCGGGCGCGAAGCGCGCGCCCCUGGUUGCCCCUGGAAACCUAACAGCGGCGGCCGGGAAGGUGGCGUGAGCCCAGCCGGAGCAAAAUGGACAGCGCCCCUGGGCCCCCGGACGACUCGGAGGAGGAAAAUAGGGACACCCCGGAAGGCGGGGGCAGCUCCGGCCUCCAGUCCGCGACCGAACUGGCCUGGUCGGUCUCGGGGUCGGAAGCGGGGGCCGCAGAGGCCUCGGAGGAAAUCGCCCUACAAGCAGCGGUCCCCGAGGCCUGGGAGGAACCGGCGGCCGCGGAGGCGGAGGGAGAGGAGGGGUCGGGGGCGUCGGAAGAGCCAGCCCAGGCCCAGGCGGAGUCCGAGGAGCAGGAGAAGCCGGCGAGGACAGCCGGGGAUGAGGCCGAGGAGACAGCCCAACCGCUGUCCGAAGGCGAGGCCGAGGAAGCCGAGGCCGGGGAGGAAGAGGAGGAAGAGCAAGCGGAGGAGGAGAUAGAGCAGGAGCUGGAGGAAGAGAAGAGCAAGAAGGAGGCGGCGGCGGCCGAAAAGGAGGAGGUGGAGGAGAACCAGGAGGAGGAGGAGGAGGAGGAGGAAGAGGAGGAGGAGGCUGCGGCAGCGUAUCUGCUGCGGAGGAAGAAAAGCCUGCCCCGGGGCGCCCUCUCCGAGGCAGUGACAGCCCGCAAGGAGGCGGUGCCCGGGGAGGAGGAGCUCGAGGGCGGCGAGGAAGAGGAGGAAGAGGAGGGGGCGGCUGACAGAUUAACGCCGGCGUCAGUGCAGAAGGGGCACGUGUACGGGGAGCGCCCCGAGGAGGAGCAGGGGCCGGAGGAGGGGGAAGGCAAGGCGUGGGUCCCGGAGACGGAGAAAGAGCAGGAGGAGCAGCUGCGCUUGGAGCUCAUCCAACAGUACAACGCGCUGAUGGCCGAGCGCAGCCGCUACCAGCGCUACAACUUCUUCUUGCAGUAUAAGAUCAGCGAAGCGCUGCGCAGGAAGGGCCAGGACGCCGUCGCCGCCGCCGCCGAGACGGACAAGGUGGCCGAGGAGUCCCCCGAGAAGGAGCAGACCUACCUGGGCUACGUGGCCAUGCUGGAGGACCUGCGGAAGCAGCAGGCGGACGAUCUGGACUGGUACCACCAGGAGCUGGAGCAGCUGAAGCAGCAGUGCAGGUACACGCUGGAGCAGGCCGACAAGGACUGGAGAAGGUUCCAGGCCCUGAAGAAACAGGUGGUGAUGCAGGCCAUGGGCAGCUGCCGGAUGACAGGCGGGCGGCAGGAGGCGCUGCGGCAGGUGGAGCAGAUCCAGGCACUGGAGGACAGGAAGGAGAAGGAGAUGAGCGCUGUGAGGCUGGAGAACGUGCAGCUGAAGCAGUGCUUGGUGCACUUCGAGACCAGGAUGAGGGCCCAGGAGGACCUGACCCAGGGCCUGCACCUCAUCGACUUUGAGCAGCUGAAGAUCGAGAACCAGACGUAUAACGAGAAGGUGGAGGAGCGGAACGAGGAGCUCCUGAAGCUGCGCAGCAAGGUCAGCAACAACGUGCAGACAGUGACGCACGUGAAGGAGAAGCUGCACUUCGUGGACAGAGAGAACAUGAGCAAGAAGGUGCAGCUGCAGGAAAUGGAGGAGCAGGUGGCCCUCCGGAGGGACAUCCUGACCAAGACCAAGCAAGCCCGCGACAGCCUGCGGUUGGAGAACAUCAAGCUGAACCAGAGGUGUGGGCUCCUGGGCAAGCACACGCUCCUCCAGGACCUGGAGGACAAGGUGGACAAGACGGAGCUGCUCAGGGAGCGGCUGGAGUCGCUGAAGCGGCACCACGCCAGCCUCAUGCUGUCCUGCAGGGGCAUGAAGCAGAAGAUCAGGGAGGCCAAGGCCUUUGUCCCCUCCUGAGUGAUGGAGAAGACGUGCUGCCAGCUGAUGGCUGUGCACUCAAGAGUGUCAGCCACAAGCUCUGUCCAGGGCCCCUGAUACUCGGGAUGGAGCCACAUUUUGUCACAAUCCCAAACUUGCUGCUCCCCCAAGUGCCUGCACUGGCCGAGAGCAGCACUUUACUAUGGAUUCUGCGGACUGGACUGGAGAUGCAGCCAGAGUCACCCGAAGGGACUGGCGAUCUAAGAAGCUGUCCAAAGUCUUUCGCAAGUGACCCCAGGAUAUUGAUGGCCCCUUCAAACUGAGAAGGAUGCUUCCUCUCGCAUGUGCAGGAGGGUUUAAAAGUUCAACCAGUGGGCUGGGUCCCCUCCACGCCCGCAAAAGCUGCUGGUGUGAAUUAAACAAACAGAGGACUCAGCCCACAGGGACCCUUCUGUGUGCACCGGUAGAAUGCCAGGACUUGAUGCCCUCUGGGUGAGCCCAUGAUUUUACUCCAAAUCAACAGUCACUUGUCUCUUCUGCCUCCUGUUCACGGAACAAUGCCUGAUGUUCUAGCACCUUCAUCCAGAAUCCAGAGUGAACACCUUCGCUUUCCUUUGGUGCUGUGGGAACUACUAGGGCCUUGGUUUCAUUUCUCCCAUCACAGAGUGAACUGGAGGUGGGGCUCAGGGUUAGACGCAUGCUCACUCUCCCUCCUGGCGUGCAAAUUCCUGCCUUCUGUCUCUGGUAUGCAUGUGCCUGCACUGGCUUUUCCCAGCUGGAAGCGGAAUAGCUCGAGUUCGGCUGAAUCCACUUACAAGUGGUCAGUUGGGAAAUACCCCUUAUUAUUAUAUUUUUGCUUUUUGGGUCACACCCGGCAAUGCACAGGGGUUACUCCUGGCUCUGCACUCAGGAAUUACCCUUGGCGGUGCUUAGGGGACCAUAUGGGAUGCUGGGAAUCAAACCCGGGUUGGCCGCGUGCAAGGCAAACGCCCUACCCGCUGUGCUAUUGCUCCAGCCCCUAUCUCAUAAUUUUGAUGACACAAUUUUAUUUCUAAAGUAUGUUCCUUUAGAGGCCACUAAAGGUUGAUUAAAAUUCUAACCUGCAUGGCCUGAAUAUGACUUUAAAAGAAUAUAGUCUUCUUGAGCUGCACAUGCUCACCCUCAUGCGCACGUGUUCAUUCACACACACACACACACACACACACACACACACACACACACAUACACUCCCUCUCUCAUGCUCCCUUCCCACUGUUCAAGACUCUGAAGAAGUGAACUACUGGCUGAUCAUAUCAGAUCGCACUCUUUCUGCCUUGGGUAGUGCCCCCCAAUCCUGCCCUUCUCCUCCAUCCUGGAGAGGGCCCCAGGCGGGUGGGUGGCACCAGGCCCUUGGUGGUGGCAGCUCUGGGCUGCUCUCCUUGGCUCCCAGCUUACCUCUAGGGAGAACAAACUUAUUAUUCAGCCAACCUGGAGCCACUGGCUCCAACCCUUCCCCUUUCACUCGCGAGCAGACAGCAGCCUCGGCGGAGACCGGCCUUCGGGCCUGGCGUUCAGCGCGGGGUGGAGCCGAGGGAGCGCUUCACGCAGGAGAUGCCACCACAGGAAGGAAGAUCCUCACCCACUGCCCUGUGACCAAGGUUCUCUGGACUGAGAUGAGAGGAGCGCGCUCAUGGGACAGCUCCCUGCCCCUGCCAGGUCCCUGGGCUCGGGCACUGCCCAUGUCCUCGGCUCAGGGGCCAGGGAGCUCUAACCCGGAGAAAUGAAGACGGGGCCACGGGCUGUGCGUUAGCACCUGCCCUGCCGGCACUGAAUCUGGAGCCUGUGGCCCAGGGCCUGAAAUAAGCGGUACUUGCAUGAAGCACGCAUCCCAGAGGGCAGCCACAUGGAUGGAGGCGGGCAGGCUCAGUGAUGGUCGGGCUGCCCAACAGAUGAUGUCCACAAGUCAAAGCUGCCUCGCAUGCUCGGGGAGAAGGUAGCUCAGAUAGAGAAGGGACCACCAAGUAAAGGAUGCUUGGAGGGCCUGCUUGGGAUGGGAGAUGCGUGCUGAAAGUAGGCUAUAGACCGAGCAUGACGGCCACUUAGUACCUGUAUCGAAAAUCAUAGCAACCAAAAGAGAGAAUAAAAGGGAAU